AGGAGUUUGAUCCUGGCUCAGAAUCAACGCUGGCGGCGUGCCUAACACAUGCAAGUCGAACGAGAAAGUGGAGCAAUCCAUGGAGUAAAGUGGCGGACCGGGUGAGUAACACGUGGACUAACCUACCUUCAAGUGGGGGAUAACCUCGGGAAACCGGGGCUAAUACCGCAUAACAUCUUUGGAGUGGGAAAUUCUGGAGAUCAAAGGAGCAAUUCGCUGGAAGAGGGGGUCGCGGCUGAUUAGCUAGUUGGCGGGGUAAUGGCCCACCAAGGCUUUGAUCGGUAGCCGGCCUGAGAGGGCGCACGGCCACACUGGAACUGAAACACGGUCCAGACUCCUACGGGGAGGCAGCAGUGGGGGAAUCUUGCGCAAUGGGGGGAAACCCUGGACGCAGCAACGCCGCGGUGGGAGGGAUGGAAGUCCCCUGGGGGACGUUAA
rnacentral:rRNA from 1 species